CCUGGCUCACGUUGAGCGCUAGCUACAGGCUUAACACAUGCAAGUCGAGGGGUAGCAUGGUCUUAGCUUGCUAAGGCCGAUGGCGACCGGCGCACGGGUGAGUAACACGUAUCCAACCUGCCGUCUACUCUUGGACAGCCUUCUGAAAGGAAGAUUAAUACAAGAUGGCAUCAUGAGUCCGCAUGUUCACAUGAUUAAAGGUAUUCCGGUAGACGAUGGGGAUGCGUUCCAUUAGAUAGUAGGCGGGGUAACGGCCCACCUAGUCUUCGAUGGAUAGGGGUUCUGAGAGGAAGGUCCCCCACAUUGGAACUGAGACACGGUCCAAACUCCUACGGGAGGCAGCAGUGAGGAAUAUUGGUCAAUGGGCGAGAGCCUGAACCAGCCAAGUAGCGUGAAGGAUGACUGCCCUAUGGGUUGUAAACUUCUUUUAUAAAGGAAUAAAGUCGGGUAUGGAUACCCGUUUGCAUGUACUUUAUGAAUAAGGAUCGGCUAACUCCGUGCCAGCAGCCGCGGUAAUACGGAGGAUCCGAGCGUUAUCCGGAUUUAUUGGGUUUAAAGGGAGCGUAGAUGGAUGUUUAAGUCAGUUGUGAAAGUUUGCGGCUCAACCGUAAAAUUGCAGUUGAUACUGGAUAUCUUGAGUGCAGUUGAGGCAGGCGGAAUUCGUGGUGUAGCGGUGAAAUGCUUAGAUAUCACGAAGAACUCCGAUUGCGAAGGCAGCCUGCUAAGCUGCAACUGACAUUGAGGCUCGAAAGUGUGGGUAUCAAACAGGAUUAGAUACCCUGGUAGUCCACACGGUAAACGAUGAAUACUCGCUGUUUGCGAUAUACAGCAAGCGGCCAAGCGAAAGCGUUAAGUAUUCCACCUGGGGAGUACGCCGGCAACGGUGAAACUCAAAGGAAUUGACGGGGGCCCGCACAAGCGGAGGAACAUGUGGUUUAAUUCGAUGAUACGCGAGGAACCUUACCCGGGCUUAAAUUGCAGAUGAAUUACGGUGAAAGCCGUAAGCCGCAAGGCAUCUGUGAAGGUGCUGCAUGGUUGUCGUCAGCUCGUGCCGUGAGGUGUCGGCUUAAGUGCCAUAACGAGCGCAACCCUUGUUGUCAGUUACUAACAGGUUCCGCUGAGGACUCUGACAAGACUGCCAUCGUAAGAUGUGAGGAAGGUGGGGAUGACGUCAAAUCAGCACGGCCCUUACGUCCGGGGCUACACACGUGUUACAAUGGGGGGUACAGAGGGCCGCUACCACGCGAGUGGAUGCCAAUCCCCAAAACCUCUCUCAGUUCGGACUGGAGUCUGCAACCCGACUCCACGAAGCUGGAUUCGCUAGUAAUCGCGCAUCAGCCACGGCGCGGUGAAUACGUUCCCGGGCCUUGUACACACAGCCC
rnacentral:rRNA from 1 species